UACGGGGGGGGCAAGCGUUGUUCGGAAUUACUGGGCGUAAAGGGCUCGUAGGCGGCCAACUAAGUCAGACGUGAAAUCCCUCGGCUUAACCGGGGAACUGCCUCUGAUACUGGAUGGCUUGAGAUUGGGAGAGGGAUGCGGAAUUCCAGGUGUAGCGGUGAAAUGCGUAGAUAUCUGGAGGAACACCGGUGGCGAAAGCGGUUCACUGGCCCGACACUGACACUGAGGUGCGAAAGCUAGGGUAGCAAACGGG
rnacentral:rRNA from 1 species